rnacentral:rRNA from 1 species
CCUAAUACAUGCAAGUCGAACGCUUCUUUUUCCACCGGGAGCUUGCUCCACCGGAAAAAGAGGAGUGGCGAACGGGUGAGUAACACGUGGGUAACCUGCCCAUCAGAAGGGGAUAACACUUGGAAACAGGUGCUAAUACCGUAUAACAAUCAAAACCGCAUGGUUUUGAUUUGAAAGGCGCUUUCGGGUGUCGCUGAUGGAUGGACCCGCGGUGCAUUAGCUAGUUGGUGAGGUAACGGCUCACCAAGGCCACGAUGCAUAGCCGACCUGAGAGGGUGAUCGGCCACAUUGGGACUGAGACACGGCCCAAACUCCUACGGGAGGCAGCAGUAGGGAAUCUUCGGCAAUGGACGAAAGUCUGACCGAGCAACGCCGCGUGAGUGAAGAAGGUUUUCGGAUCGUAAAACUCUGUUGUUAGAGAAGAACAAGGAUGAGAGUAACUGUUCAUCCCUUGACGGUAUCUAACCAGAAAGCCACGGCUAACUACGUGCCAGCAGCCGCGGUAAUACGUAGGUGGCAAGCGUUGUCCGGAUUUAUUGGGCGUAAAGCGAGCGCAGGCGGUUUCUUAAGUCUGAUGUGAAAGCCCCCGGCUCAACCGGGGAGGGUCAUUGGAAACUGGGAGACUUGAGUGCAGAAGAGGAGAGUGGAAUUCCAUGUGUAGCGGUGAAAUGCGUAGAUAUAUGGAGGAACACCAGUGGCGAAGGCGGCUCUCUGGUCUGUAACUGACGCUGAGGCUCGAAAGCGUGGGGAGCAAACAGGAUUAGAUACCCUGGUAGUCCACGCCGUAAACGAUGAGUGCUAAGUGUUGGAGGGUUUCCGCCCUUUCAGUGCUGCAGCUAACGCAUUAAGCACUCCGCCUGGGGGAGUACGACCGCAAAGGUUGAAACUCAAAGGGAAUUGACGGGGGGCCC